rnacentral:rRNA from 14 species
AACGACUCUCGGCAACGGAUAUCUCGGCUCACGCAUCGAUGAAGAACGCAGCAAAAUGCGAUACUUGGUGUGAAUUGCAGAAUCCCGUGAACCAUCGAGUUUUUGAACGCAAGUUGCGCCCGAAGCCAUCCGGCCGAGGGCACGUCUGCCUGGGCGUCACGC